rnacentral:rRNA from 1 species
ACGGAAGGCAGCAGUAGGGAAUAUUGCACAAUGGGGGCGACCCUGAUGCAGCGACGCCGCGUGAGUGAUGAAGUAUUUCGGUACGUAAAGCUCUAUCAGCAGGGAGGAUAAUGACGGUACCUGACUAAGAAGCCCCGGCUAACUACGUGCCAGCAGCCGCGGUAAUACGUAGGGGGCAAGCGUUAUCCGGAUUUACUGGGUGUAAAGGGAGUGUAGGUGGUCUGGCAAGUCAGAUGUGAAAGCCCGCGGCUCAACCGCGGGACUGCAUUUGAAACUGUCAGACUGGAGUGCAGGAGAGGAAAGUGGAAUUCCUAGUGUAGCGGUGAAAUGCGUAGAUAUUAGGAAGAACACCAGUGGCGAAGGCGGCUUUCUGGACUGUAACUGACACUGAGGCUCGAAAGCGUGGGGAGCAAACAGGAUUAGAUACCCUGGUA